CCUACGGGAGGCAGCAGUGAGGAAUAUUGGACAAUGGGCGCAAGCCUGAUCCAGCCAUGCCGCGUGGGUGAAGAAGGCCUUCGGGUUGUAAAGCCCUUUUGUCCGGAAAGAAAAGCACGGGAUUAAUACUCUCGUGUGAUGACGGUACCGGAAGAAUAAGCACCGGCUAACUUCGUGCCAGCAGCCGCGGUAAUACGAAGGGUGCAAGCGUUACUCGGAAUUACUGGGCGUAAAGCGUGCGUAGGUGGUGCGUUAAGUCUGUCGUGAAAUCCCCGGGCUCAACCUGGGAAUGGCGAUGGAUACUGGCGCGCUAGAGUGAGGUAGAGGAGAGUGGAAUUCCCGGUGUAGCAGUGAAAUGCGUAGAGAUCGGGAGGAACAUCGGUUGCGAAGGCGGCUCUCUGGACCAUCACUGACACUGAGGCACGAAAGCGUGGGGAGCAAACAGGAUUAGAUACCCUGGUAGUCCACGCCCUAAACGAUGCGAACUGGACGUUGGGCUCAAUUGAGAGCUCAGUGUCGAAGCUAACGCGUUAAGUUCGCCGCCUGGGGAGUACGGUCGCAAGACUGAAACUCAAAGGAAUUGACGG
rnacentral:rRNA from 1 species